GCCGAAGUGGCGGAAUUGGCAGACGCGCUGGACUCAAACUCCAGUGAGGCUCACACCUCGUGCGGGUUCGACCCCCGCCUUCGGCACCA
rnacentral:tRNA from 2 species